rnacentral:rRNA from 1 species
UACGAAGGGGGCGAGCGUUGUUCGGAAUCACCGGGCGUAAAGGGCGCGUAGGCGGCCCUCCUUGUCGCGUGUGAAAGCCCCGGGCUCAACCUGGGAACGGCGCGCGAAACGGGGGGGCUGGAGUUCGGGAGAGGAGCGUGGAAUUCCCAGUGUAGAGGUGAAAUUCGUAGAUAUCAGGAAGAACACCCGUGGCGAAUGCGGCUCUCUGGGACGGUACUGACGCUGAGACGCGAAAGCGUGGGGAGCGAACAGG